CAUGCAAGUGAACGAGAAGAGAUGAGAAGCUUGCUUCUUAUCAAUUCGAGUGGCAAACGGGUGAGUAAUGCGUGAGCAACCUGCCUUUCAGAGGGGGACAACAGUUGGAAACGACUGCUAAUACCGCAUGACAUAUUUAAGCGGCAUCGCUUGGAUAUCAAAGAUUUAUCGCUGAAAGAUGGGCUCACGUCUGAUUAGUUAGUUGGUGAGGUAACGGCCCACCAAGCCGACGAUCAGUAGCCGGUCUGAGAGGAUGAACGGCCACACUGGAACUGAGACACGGUCCAGACUCCUACGGGAGGCAGCAGUGGGGAAUCUUCCGCAAUGGGCGAAAGCCUGACGGAGCAACGCCGCGUGAGUGAUGACGGCCUUCGGGUUGUAAAGCUCUGUGAUCGGGGACGAACGGUCAGCAGACGAAUACUCUGCUGAAGUGACGGUACCCGAAUAGCAAGCCACGGCUAACUACGUG
rnacentral:rRNA from 1 species